GCCUAAAGAAAAGCUCGCGGCUGAUUAGCUUGUUGGUAAGGUAAUGGCUUACCAAGGCGACGAUCAGUAUCUGGUUUGAGAGGACGAUCAGACACACUGGAACUGAGACACGGUCCAGACUCCUACGGGAGGCAGCAGUGGGGAAUUUUCCGCAAUGGGCGAAAGCCUGACGGAGCAAUACCGCGUGAGGGAAGAAUGCCUAUGGGUUGUAAACCUCUUUUUUCAGGGAGGAAUAAAAUGACGUGUACCUGAAGAAUAAGCAUCGGCUAACUCCGUGCCAGCAGCCGCGGUAAGACGGAGGAUGCAAGUGUUAUCCGGAAUCACUGGGCGUAAAGCGUCUGUAGGUGGUUUAAUAAGUCAACUGUUAAAUCUUGAGGCUCAACUUCAAAAUCGCAGUCGAAACUAUUAGACUAGAGUAUAGUAGAGGUAAAGGGAAUUUCCAGUGGAGCGGUGAAAUGCGUAGAUAUUG
rnacentral:rRNA from 1 species